rnacentral:snRNA from 1 species
AGCUUUGCAUAGUGGCAGUAUCAUAGCCACUGAGGUUUAUCCAAGGCACGAUUAUUGCUAAUUGAAUCGAAAAUUAAAACAAUUG